AUGCUCCUCGCUGGAAUCUCUAUCUGCGGAUGGCUUGGCCACACUGCUGGAGUGCAAGCUUCCCAACAGCAACAGUUAUCCCAAAGAAACCUGGAAGGCCUUCUUUGUCAAAGUGGCCGGCAUCCUUGAUGAAGCCCUUGUCCAAUAUUCUGGCAAGGUCCAAAACCUCACUCUGUCCGUGCCCACGGUCCUCC